UGAAUUUGCCCAAGAUCAGAUGAGGCUAGGAAGCUCAUGAAUGCAAGCUUUGAACGCGUCCUAAUUUUCUGGAACACCUGGUGCAUAUUAACCAUUUCAAUAACCUGGAUGAGGUGCUUGUUUAGAAAUUCAAGUUUUCCUUCUCCUCCAGACUCUUCUCACCAAUUCACAUCCCUGAUGCAGAAACUCUUGGGGAGGG